CGCUGAACUUAAGCAUAUCAAUAAGCGGAGGAAAAGAAACUAACAAGGAUUCCCCUAGUAACGGCGAGUGAAGCGGGAUGAGCUCAAGCUUAAAAUCUCCGUGCAAGUUUUGCACGGCGAAUUGUAGUCUAUAGAGGCGUGGUCAGUGAGGGCGCUCGGGGCAAGUUCCUUGGAAGAGGACAGCAUGGAGGGUGAUACUCCCGUUCAUCCCUGAGUGGCUUUUGCGUACGACCCGUGUUCUUUGAGUCGCGUUGUUUGGGAAUGCAGCGCAAAGUAGGUGGUAAAUUCCAUCUAAAGCUAAAUAUUGGUGCGAGACCGAUAGCGAACAAGUACCGUGAGGGAAAGAUGAAAAGAACUUUGAAAAGAGAGUUAAAGAGUACCUGAAACUGCUGAAAGGGAACCGAAUCGUUUCCAGUGUCUAUAAUCCGUGGCAUAUUUCAUUGGCGAGUGUGUGCGUGCGUGUGCUGUGGCAGUGGCUUUUUUGGCUGCGCUCGGCGUGUGUGCUGUGURUGCUUGUUGGUGCCCUGUGCUGCGGUGGGACGUCAAGGUCAGUUCGUAUGCUGCGGGAAAUGGCUGCCGAGGAGGUAGGGCUUACGCUCCGCGUUUGUCUGUUAUAUCUUGGUGGACGAGUAGUCGCGGUUGGGACUGAGGUGCCUACAACGUGCUUUUGAGUGUGUAUGGGUCUCCGUGUGCGCCGUGUGCGGAUAGCUUGCUAUGCGUGUGUGGUUGUGUGUGGAUUGAUGCGUACUGUAACUUGUCGCCGUUCGGGACGUUGACGAAAUGGAGCGAUCCGACCCGUCUUGAAACACGGACCAAGGAGUCUAACAUGUGUGCAAGUGUUAGGGUGUGGAAACCCCAGCGCGAAAUGAAAGUGAAGGGCAGCGCAAGUUGUCUGAGGUAGGAAACGUUGCGGGCUUCGGUCUGCGGCGUGGCACUAUCGACCGAUCAUGAGCCUUCGUGGUGAAAGAUUUGAGUUUGAGCACAUAUGUUGGUACCCGAAAGAUGGUGAACUAUGCCUGAGUAGGGUGAAGCCAGGGGAAACUCUGGUGGAAGCUCGUAGCGAUUCUGACGUGCAAAUCGAUCGUCAAACUUGGGUAUAGGGGCGAAAGACUAAUCGAACCAUCUAGUAGCUGGUUCCCUCCGAAAUUUCCCUCAGGAUAGCAGCAACUUUUUUACGAUAGUUUUAUGAGGUAAAGCGAAUGAUUAGAGGAUUCGGGGAAGAAACUUUCUCGACCUAUUCUCAAACUUUAAAUCUGUAAGACCUGCAGGUUUCUUAAUUGAACUUGUGGAUGUGAAUAUCAAGUUGCUAGUGGGCCAUACGGGGUAAGCUCGUCUGGCG
rnacentral:rRNA from 1 species